GAUUUAAAAAUCUUUGCUACAUUGAUCUAACAAUAGUAAUUUCUAAUUUGUAUGUCUUAUAUAAUUGAUUUCAUGACAAAUAUAAGAGAGGAACAUUAUUGUAAAUAACAACUUAAUUUUUAAAAAAUAAAAAAAAUAAAAAAAAAUCUCGACUCUUUUCUUUGCAAGCAGUGCUUCUAUUAUAUUCUGCUCUCUAUAGCUAUAUUUUAGCCACGAGCCCUUCAGCAUCCUCAUCAGAGACCUACAUUCAUUUAAAAUAGCAACGUUAGGAUUAUCAAGAAAUUUGUACGCCUACAUACCACACAAAUUUCUCCAUGUUCUGCUCUUUAUAGCUAUAUUUAAGCCACGGGCCCUUCAGCCUCCGCAGUAAAGACCUACAUUAAUUCAAAAUUGCAGCGUUAGGGUUAUCAAGAAAUUUGUAUGCUUACAUACCACACGAAUUUCUCCACGUUUUGCUCUUUAUAGCUAUAUUUAAGCCACGGGUCCUUCAGCCUCCGCAGUAAAGACCUACAUUAAUUUAAAAUUGCAGCGUUAGGGUUAUCAAGAAAUUUGUAUGCUUACAUACCACACGAAUUUCUCCACGUUUUGCUCUCUAUAGCUAUAUUUAAGCCACGGGCCCUUCAGCCUCCGCAUCAAAGACCUACAUUCAUUUAAAAUAGCAUCGUUAGGGUUAUCAAGAUAUUUGUACGCCUACAUACCACACAAAUUUCUCCAUGUUCUGCUCUCUAUAGCUAUAUUUUAGCCACGGGCCCUUCAGCCUCGGCAUCAAAGACCUAUAUUCAUUUAAAAUAGCAUCGUUGGGGUUAUCAAGAAAUUUGUACACUUAAAUACCACACAAAUUUCUCCAUGUUCUGCUCUCUAUAGCUAUAUUUUAGCCACGGACCCUUCAGCCUCUGCAUCAAAAACCUACAUUAAUUUUAAAUAGUAUCGUUAGGGUUAUCAAGAAAUUUGUACGCUCACAUAUUGCGGUAUAAAGAAAUACGAUUUAAUUACGUAUUAGGUAAAAAGAUAGUCUGGUGCACUAAAGCUCCCUCUAUGCGCAGGGACCGGAGAAGGGCCCCACCACGAGUGUAUUAUAUGCAGACUUACCUUGCAUUUUUUUGUCCGAAGCUGUUUCCAAGGCUUGACAACCCGUGACCUCCUGAUCACAUGACAACAACUUUACCAGUUACUCCACGACUCUCCUUUAAUAAGAACUUAUUUAAGGUACUUUAUUAACUAAGAAAUAUCAUCAAAUUAACCAAAAGUAGUAAUAAUCAACAACUAUAAUCACAUAAAAUUAAUCACAGUCCAAAGAUAAACUCACCAAUUAAAGAUGAUUUGCCCAAAUUUUCUUGAAGAAUUAAAGAAUUAAUUAGUCAUUAUUUGCCAAUGCAGCAGCAUCAAGAUUCUCAUAUAUUAAAAAUAUUAAACAGUUUUCAUUUUCUGUUUUUUUUUUCUAUGUGAAUCUUGAUAAUGCUGCACUAGCAAGCAACAACUGCGUGUUCACCGAACUCACAAAUUUUAAAUUUCGACUCUAUCACUGGGGUAUAUCGUCAAUUCAUGCACGAUUAAUCCAUUUUUUUAUAGCGGAGCAAGAAAUUCUAACAAAGAAAUUCAAACGAAUGCAAUAAUAUCACACUUCAGAGUCAAACAAAUCAAACUCACUAAUAAAAGAAAAAUUCAAGCAAAUUCAAAAAUAUAAUUAUAUAUAUAUAAUACAAAAAAAUAUAUUUUUAUCCUUUAAUUUGUAUAAGUUUCAGGCGAAGUGGAUUCAAUUGAACUCAUUCGAAACAUGUGGCUCCAUCCUAGACUUAGAAAUUUUCAUAAUUAAUAUAGCUCAAAGCAUUUUUUUUUUUUAAAGACGAGGAAAAAGAGAUAAGAGAAUAAAUUAAAGAAAUCAUUGCGAAUAUCAGAGAUCGAGUGGAAAAUAAAAAAAAUAAAAUCAAACAAACAAUUCUAGGGACAUGUACCUUAAAUGAUGUGAUGUGAGCAAUUAGGUGAAUUUAUUAUAUAAAGAGAUCAAAUAAUUAAUCUAAUAGAAUAAAUCUAGUACUAAGAGCUAAAAAAAAACUCAAUUUGAGAUAAAGAAUAAUAAUAUAAAUAGAUUAUUCAGGUGUUUGAAGAACCUUGGAGAUUGAUGAUUAAAAAUGAGCAGAAAUUUCAGUUACGAUUUUAAAAAAGAUAACAACAAAAACAAAAACUCUAAUAUAAAAGUAAUGGAUCGAUCAUUAGAUUAAUCGACAAGUACUCAACGACAACAUCAACAACAAUUAUAAUAUUAGAAUCUCAAGUAAAUUGUAUCAAUCUUUAUGAUUUAUAUCGCUCUGACAUAAAAUUCAUAUUAGUCCAAUACUAUAUAAAAUAAAAAUCUAAAAGCAUAAUUACAAAAAAAUUCAGAAAGGAGAAAAGAAUUAUGUGAAAAAUUAAUUGAAUUUGACAAAUUGAAGUUGGAAAAAAAAUGAAAAAGAAAAUAAAUAUUUGAAGAAGAA
rnacentral:lncRNA from 1 species